CUCAAGCGUCUGGAUCCCAGACCCAGUCAGCAUACCAGCCCUAGCACUACAACACUGCUUCAGACAGCCAGCCUGUUCUUCCUCAGAGUCAGCCUUCGGGAGCUUCUGCUCCAUAUCCAAGUCAAACCUCUGGCGUGUACAAUAUUGCACAGCGUCCAUUGACUGCAACCCUUUCCGAAAUACCUGGGUCCACAUCCAGUCAUCAUACCAGCCUGGCACUACAACACUGCUCUUCAGACAGGCCAGUCUGCGUCUACAUCUCAGGCUCAGUCCUCUGGCGCAUCAACGUUGUAUCAAGGAUUAGCUCUGGCAGGUAUCUGACUUCACUGGGUCAUAUAAUUCCAUCCUCCUCCCAGUCUGUGGUCACUACAAACCAGACAUCUGGAUCCCAGACCCAGUCAUCAUACCAGCCUGGCACCACAACACUGCUCAGACAGGCCAGUCUGCUUCUACAUCUCAGGCUCUUGGCAGCCAUGGAGCUGCACCUUCAGGACAUGCUAAAUGGUACACCAUUGUACAAGGUCAGACAAUUCCAUCUUCUCAAGCCUCUGGAUCCCAGACCCAGUCAUCAUACCAGCCUGGCACCACAACACAGGUUCAGACAGGCCAGUCUGCUUCUACAUCUCAGGCUCAGUCCUCUGGUGCAUCAACAUUGUAUCCAGGGAUUAGGAGGAAUGUGACUUCUCUGGGUCAUGGCUUUCCAUACUCAACCCAGUCUGUGGUGACCGCAAACCAGACAUCUGGAUCCCAGACCCAGUCAUCAUACCAGCCUAGCACUACAACGCUCCUUCAGACAGGCCAGCCUGUUCUUCCUCAGAGUCAGCCUUCGGGAGCUUCUGCUUCAUAUCCAGUCAAACCUCUGGCGUGUACAAUAUUACACAGCGUCCAUUGACUGCAACCCUUUCCGAAAUACCUGGGUUCCACAUCCAGUCAUCAUACCAGCCUGGCACUACAACACUGCUUCAGACAGGCCAGUCUGCUUCUACAUCUCAGGCUCAGUCCUCUGGUGCAUCAACAUUG
ensembl:lncRNA